UUUUCUUUUUUUUUUUAAUAUCCAGAAAUGAUACUUGAAAAUGGUAAAAGCUGCUUGUGUUCUAUGUGCACUUAAUAGCAUUGACACUCUAAAUAACUUUAAGCGACAGCUUUUUUACUUGUAGAGCAAGUGGAGCAGUUAGCAUAUGACAGGUCCUUGGAUGUUGCAAUUCCUCUCCCUUUCUCAACUGCUUUAUAAUUAAUCAGGAAAGGAAGCACAUAAAUAUCAACUAGUAUCCAAAGCAAUUGAAAAGGAACCUACUUAGUUUUUCCAUUGCUUUCAACAUUUGCGAAGAAACAAAGGAAAAAUGGAAAUUACUCUUUUGACCACCUAAGAUUGGAUCUUCAGUUAAUGUCGCUUUGGCAACAAAAGGGUUGUGGUGGAAAGUAAUUGAGUCCAUAUUGGUUAAAUCAAAUGGAUUAAUCUUAAUUUUACAGUUUGUCUUAGUCUUGUUCAUGGUUAUUGAACUUAUCAAUUACUUCCAGUGUGGUUAUUGAACUUCAAUUUGUAUCAAUAAAAUCACUCAACUGGGACCUUUGUUU
rnacentral:misc_RNA from 1 species